rnacentral:rRNA from 1 species
CCGCCUGCCCUGUGACAAUGUUUAACGGCCGCGGUAUUAUGACCGUGCGAAGGUAGCGUAAUCACUUGUCUUUUAAUUGAAGACCUGUAUGAAAGGCAUCACGAGAAUUUACCUGUCUCUAUUUUCUAAUCAAUGAAAUUGAUUUCCCCGUGCAGAAGCGGGGAUAUAAACAUUAGACGAGAAGACCCUAUGGAGCUUUAAACACUUAAGUUAUUACCUUAUUUAUCAACAAAUCUAAAGACUUAACCUACUAUAAUAGUAGUCUAACUUAAUGUUUUCGGUUGGGGCGACCAAGGAGUAAAAGAAAACCUCCUUAUCGAUUGAGUAUCUUUACUUAAAAAUCAGAACGACAGUUCUGAUAAAUAGAAUAUCUAACGAAUUAUGACCCAGGACUAUCGUCCUGAUCAAUGAACCAAGUUACCCUAGGGAUAACAGCGCAAUCCUUUCUAAGAGUCCAUAUCGCCGAAAGGGUUUACGACCUCGAUGUUGGAUCAGGACAUCCUAAUGGUGCAACCGCUAUUAAGGGUUCGUUUGUUCAACGAUUAACAGUCCUACGUGAUCUGAGUUC